rnacentral:rRNA from 1 species
GGACGGUCGGUCCGCCGUUAGGUGUGCACUGACUGGUCUCAGCUUCCUGGUGAGGAGGUGUGCUUCAUCGCCACUUAGUCACCGUGGUUACUUUGAAAAAAUUAGAGUGUUCAAAGCGGGCUUACGCUUGAAUAUAUUAGCAUGGAAUAACACCAUAGGACUCCCGUCCUAUUUCGUUGGUCUCGGGACGGGAGUAAUGAUUAAGAGGAACAGUUGGGGGCAUUCGUAUUUCAUUGUCAGAGGUGAAAUUCUUGGAUUUAUGAAAGACGAACUUCUGCGAAAGCAUUUGCCAAGGAUGUUUUCAUUGAUCAAGAACGAAAGUUGGGGGCUCGAAGAUGAUUAGAUACCAUCCUAGUCUCAACCAUAAAUGAUGCCGACUAGGGAUUGGCGGAUGUUAAUUGAUGACUUCGCCAGCACCUUACGAGAAAUCAAAGUUUUUGGGUUCCGGGGGGAGUAUGGUCGCAAGGCUGAAACUUAAAGGAAUUGA